rnacentral:misc_RNA from 1 species
GAUGAAGAACGUAGCGAAAUGCGAUAAGUAAUGUGAAUUGCAGAAUUCAGUGAAUCAUCGAAUCUUUGAACGCACCUUGCGCCCUUUGGACAUUCCGAAGGGCAUGCCUGUUUGAGUAUCAUUAACACCUCAACUCUCACGGCUUGUCCGUGAUGAGCUUGGACUUUGGGGGUCUUGCCGGCCUGUGGUCGGCUCCUCUCAAAUGGAUCAGCUUGCCAGUGUUUGGUGGCAUCACAGGUGUGAUAACUAUCUGCGCUUGUGGUUUUCCAUCAGAUAACCUUCAGUGAUAUGGAGGUUCGCUGGAGCUCACAAAUGUCUCUCCUUAGUGAGGACAGCUCUUUGAACGUUUGAUCUCAAAUCAGGUAGGACUACCCGCUGAACUUAAGCAUAUCAAUAAGCGGAGGA